rnacentral:rRNA from 1 species
GAUGAACGCUAGCUACAGGCUUAACACAUGCAAGUCGAGGGGUAACGAGAGGAAAGCUUGCUUUCCUUGUCGACGACCGGCGCACGGGUGAGUAACGCGUAUCCAACCUGCCCCCAACUAGGGAAUAACCUUGCGAAAGUAAGACUAAUACCCUAUAAUUUCCUCAGAUGUCAUCUGACGAGGAAUAAAGAUUUAUCGGUUGUGGAUGGGGAUGCGUCUGAUUAGCUUGUUGGCGGGGUAACGGCCCACCAAGGCAACGAUCAGUAGGGGUUCUGAGAGGAAGGUCCCCCACAUUGGAACUGAGACACGGUCCAAACUCCUACGGGAGGCAGCAGUGAGGAAUAUUGGUCAAUGGGCGGAAGCCUGAACCAGCCAAGUAGCGUGCAGGAUGACGGCCCUAUGGGUUGUAAACUGCUUUUAUACAGGAAUAAAGUUAGCCACGUGUGGUUAUUUGUAGGUACUGUAUGAAUAAGGACCGGCUAAUUCCGUGCCAGCAGCCGCCGCCG